CAGAUUAUAUUUUAAAAUUCCAUUGCUAGGUUACCAGCUUCAAAUUAUAUGCUAGAUGAUUUGUACAAUUUGUUAUAACAGUUCAUUGUAUAUUUUUUAUUUGUGAAAUUUGUUUGUUGCACGUUUUGAUCUAUAUGGUCAUUUUUGCUGCUAUAUAUAUGUGUUAUGCAUGAAGCUGCAACCUUUGACAUAUUCUGAGUUUCUGACUAACAGCAAGGGAAUUAUGUUGUUAUUUCUUUAAAAACAAGUGGUCAUGUUCCUAGAAAAUUGGAUCUGUUCUUAUAUCUUUCAAUCAUCUUUUGAUCGCAACAAGAAGGUGGAUUUUAUUGAGCAGUUCAAUGAAAAGCUUCUUGUCAAGCAGGAGAAUGAAAACCUACAGAUCCUAGACGUAUGUAUAUGUUUUCAUCUUUUUGAAGUGACAUUGCAGAAGAUUCUAAAUGUUGACAGUUGUGGUGACCAGGUUCGGAAUUUUGAGGUAACAGAAGUCAGCAGAACAGAAAUUAGGACUCCAUCAGCAUUUAAUCUUAUACAUGAAAAGCAAUAAUUCCUAAUGUUCAGGAAUUAACAGUGGUGUCUGGAAUUGCCAUGGAGAGCUUGUGAUUUUAUUUGUGGAUCACCUUUUGUGGCAUCCUGAUUGCAACACUAACUACAUAUGUCACAAGUGGCCAGGAUCUUAUCAUAUCUUAUUGCAAACCUGCUCGUGGUGACUUGCUGCU
rnacentral:lncRNA from 1 species